rnacentral:lncRNA from 1 species
AUUGAAAGAAUGGAAUAGAAUUGAAAGUUACUUGGUAAGAACCACACUAAAGUCUAUGAGUAAAGGUGGAUACGAUAAGCAAUGGGCCAAGCGUCCUGCACCGAAAGAUAUCCAGAAUGAGAGUAGGAAAGCUCCAGUCUCAUUCCUUUACUACUUAAGGCUCGUGACAUGUAAUUCUCGUCCUAACUUUCAAGUUGCUGGAGAAGAGUCUUUGUUGUUG